rnacentral:rRNA from 1 species
AUUGAACGCUGGCGGCAGGCCUAACACAUGCAAGUCGAACGAGCGGCGCACGGGUGUGUGAUGUCUGGGAAACUGCCUGAUGGAGGGGGAUAAAUCCUGGAAAAGGUGGCGAAUACCGCAUACCCUCAGAUGUGCCCAGAUGGGAUUAGCUAGUAGGUGGGGUAACGGCGCACCGAGGCGACGAUCCCUAGCUGGUCUGAGAGGAUGACCAGCCACACUGGAACUGAGACACGGUCCAGACUCCUACGGGAGGCAGCAGUGGGGAAUAUUGCACAAUGGGCGCAAGCCUGAUGCAGCCAUGCCGCGUGUGUGAAGAAGGCCUUCGGGUUGUAAAGCACUUUCAGCGGGGAGGCGUUACCCGCAGAAGAAGCACCGGCUAACUCCGUGCCAGCAGCCGCGGUAAUAC